AUAACCGGGGGUAGGGUUG
rnacentral:rRNA from 1 species